GAUACAUGGAAGCACACAAAUUAUGAGUAUCACAUUUUUUAGUGUUAGAUACUUCCCUAUUCCUCUCUUCUACAUUCUUCCCAAAAGCCUGUUUAAUAGCCGAAAUGCAGGUAAAAUACUAAGGUCUUGCCCUAUACAAUAACACUGGGCAAAUUAAUGUUGCUUGUGUUACUAUUCUGUUAACAUAUGGCUCUUUGGUAACCCUCCAGUUUAUAACAUUCAAAACUGGGAAGAACCUUUAGAAUCGCUUAAACUGGGUCUCUUUUUCCUAUCUGUAACGUGAUAGCUCAGAUUGUCUCUAAAGUCCUUCCCAGCAUUGAUAUUAAAAAGAUCUUCAGGGUAUUCCAAAAGCAACAGAUAAUAUAGGAACUUUUCCUCUAUUAUGGUGGAAAUAAUGUCAUUGCUCAUUGCAGGCUGGUAAAAAAGGAGUCUUCAUGGUUUGUGAAGCACUUUCUCAAAAGAGCUCUGUAAGAAACCAAGACUCCAGAAGACUUCUAAGAAAGCUAGCUGGGCCCCAGGCAAGGAAACUAGAUUGUGAAGGAGAUAAUAAAGGAGUUGGAUUGUAACACCUGGCUAUUCUUUUGGUGAUUACUGAAAAGAAGGCUGCUCCAAGGAUCUCCAGAAAAUCAAGCCGAACAUUUACACUUCUAAAAUAGAAUAAAAAGAGAAAGGCAUAGGAGGAGAAAGAAAGAUCAGAGCUGGAAGGGAUUGAGAUAGUUGCAUUCCUAUAUUAAACAAAUACGGAAAUUGAGGCUCAGAAAGAAGUAACUUACUUCUAGUCAUAUAGCUUGAUAUAAAAUAUUUUAUAAAAAGUAAAAUUUAUUUUAAAAUUA